rnacentral:rRNA from 1 species
AACGUAGGAGACAAACGUUAUCCGGAGUUACUGGGCGUAAAGGGCGUGUAGGUGGUAGUGUAAGUCUGGCGUGAAAUUUUUCGGCUUAACCGGGAAAGGUCGUCGGAUACUGCACAACUAGAGGACGGUAGAGGCGUGUGGAAUUCCGGGUGUAGUGGUGAAAUGCGUAGAGAUCCGGAGGAACACCAGUGGCGAAGGCGACACGCUGGGCCGUACCUGACACUGAUGCGCGACAGCAUGGGGAGCGAACAGG